AACGCUAGCGGCAGGCCUAACACAUGCAAGUCGAACGGUAACAGGGAUUGCUUGCAAUCCGCUGACGAGUGGCGCACGGGUGAGUAACGCGUAUGCAAUCUGCCUUUAACUGAGAGAUAGCCCAGAGAAAUUUGGAUUAAUACCUCAUAAUAUUGUGAUUUGGCAUCACUUCACAAUUAAAGCUUCGGCGGUUAAAGAUGAGCAUGCGUCCUAUUAGCUUGUUGGUAAGGUAACGGCUUACCAAGGCAACGAUAGGUAGGGGGCCUGAAAGGGUGAUCCCCCACACUGGUACUGAGACACGGACCAGACUCCUACGGGAGGCAGCAGUGAGGAAUAUUGCGCAAUGGAGGAAACUCUGACGCAGCCAUGCCGCGUGCAGGAAGACGGCCCUACGGGUUGUAAACUGCUUUUAUAUAGGAAGAAACACCGAUACGUGUAUCGGCUUGACAGUACUAUAUGAAUAAGGACCGGCUAACUCCGUGCCAGCAGCCGCGGUAAUACGGAGGGUCCAAGCGUUAUCCGGAUUUAUUAGGUUUAAAGGGUCCGCAGGCGGGAUUUUAAGUCAGUGGUGAAAGCCUACAGCUCAACUGUAGAACUGCCAUUGAUACUGAAAUUCUUGAGUGUGGUUGAAGUGGGCGGAACAUGUCAUGUAGCGGUGAAAUGCAUAGAUAUGACAUAGAACACCAAUUGCGAAGGCAGCUCACUAAGCCAUUACUGACGCUGAGGGACGAAAGCGUGGGGAGCGAACAGGAUUAGAUACCCUGGUAGUCCACGCCGUAAACGAUGAUCACUCGUUGCUAGCGAUACACUGUUAGUGACCAAGCGAAAGUGUUAAGUGAUCCACCUGGGAAGUACGUUCGCA
rnacentral:rRNA from 1 species